rnacentral:antisense_RNA from 1 species
CAUGGAAGUCUCCAAGCCUGUGCCAUCCACCUGCCAAGGAAAAGCACAAGGCAGUAGAGCGAGGGAAGCUGCACUGGCUGAGAGGCUGUGGAACCGGAUGAAAAAGCAGCCCCUGAGUCCUGUGGCGUUGGCUCAUACAGUUUGAACAUUUAUUCGCCUCCUGAGCUUGUACAACAGUCGUGGGAGUUGCUGCAGAAGCAAGCGAAAAGCCAGAUGAGCGCUUCUAAACUUAGAGAGAGGGAGAGCGCCUCAUCUCUUCCAUUUUCCAGGUAUUCCUGAGAUGAUUUAUUGGAGCUCAAAGCUUUGGGAGAGUUGGGGCCUUCCAUUCCCUCCAGUAAAUACUUGUUUUUCUUCCACCGCUGAGGCAAAUGCGGGGUGGCUGAUCACCUGGCAGACAUCUUAGGAAACAGGAGCACCGGUCUGGGAAACUGCUGGCCUGGCCUAACACCUGGCGCUGUGGUGCAGGCAAGAGGGCAGCCACUGAGGAUUCUUGAGGAGAGAGAGACCAUAGAAUGAAUGAAAGAGUUGGAAAGACUUUAAAGCUCUGGGAGGCUGAAUCCUUUAUUUCGCUGGAAGAAAAACUGAAUGCCAAGAGGGCCUCACUUUCCCCAAAGCUAUACAGCCAUCAGGGGCAAUGCUGGGAUUCCCCCAUGGAUCUCUUGACUCCUAAUACAGUGCUCUUUCUGAUAUGCCAUCUGGCUCCAUAAUGAACAUUGUGUUCCAGGAAAAUCAGUCUGCGCUGAACAGGAUGGAAUUGGGGCAGGACGUCCAGUGAGGAGGACAUUGAGGCAGUAGAGCAG